GGUCGGGUCCUGUGCGACAAUUCACUGUGAACCAUGUCAGGCGGGGAACCGAGCAGCAUUAAGCAGAUCGUUUUGUGUGCCGCAGCAAAUCCGGUCGUU
rnacentral:SRP_RNA from 1 species